CCCCCGCUGCACAAACCCGGCUUCCCCCGCAGCCCUUCGAGGAGGCGUCUGCACCGGGGAAACUUUGAGCUGAGGCGGCGGCCACCGAGAGGGGCUAGACUGGCAGCGAGAGGCAGCCGAGAGAGCCAGGGUUCCCUCGCACCCUUCCUCUCCUCUUCACUCCCACGACUAACAUAUCUGCACAGUCGCUCUGGAAGCCCGCUUAGAUCAUUUCUGAAAAGAACUGCCUGGGGACGUCGGAAUCGGGCCAAUUUCGUGGAUACGCUUCUACUGUGAACUGGACGGUAGCAGGUUUUGCGCCUGGAAGUAGCAGUCCGGAUCCUCUACGAGCUCCUGCCCCAACUUCUCCGAGCCCAAGCGCCAACUUCUCUCCCUAGACCGCUGGGUAUCCACUGCUGGGGAGCUCAGAGCUGGAAAGAAGGCGAUGUCAGAAGCUCCGCGAGUUUCUUCCAAGCUUCAGAAGGAGUCUCCCAGCAGAAGUUUGACUUACCCAGCGGUAGACAGCUGGGAUUUCUCACUGGAAACUUUUGCCCUCGAUUACAUUUUGUUUGAUUUGACGGCGUUUCACCUUUGUGUUCUGCCAGUGCAGCAUGACUACUUCCACUCUGACACUGUCCAGGCUGCGGAUCGCUGCGGGUGUUCUUAUUCCGGAGCUGGGAGCGUUUCUGCAAUCUGGGACCUACUGGGGAAAGCAAAGACUUAAGUAGCGCGGCGUGCUGCCGACAGCGCUGGGUUGGUUCCCUUGCUCCCCGGCGGAUCGCCCAGCAGGUUCCCGGGUCUCCAGACAAGAAG